rnacentral:misc_RNA from 1 species
AAGUCGUAACAAGGUUUCCGUAGGUGAACCUGCGGAAGGAUCAUUAACACGAAUUUAUUAUCCAAUAUCAAAACCAAACGUGAACCUAUCUUCUCCCAACAUUUAUUAUCUCUUGAUUUAAAGAGAUAUUGAUGUAGGCUAACAUUCAUAUAUCUUACAAUAUAUGAACCCUUUAUAUUUUAACCCCUUUAACUUUAACUAGUUUUCAGCAUUCAUCAAUAUGAUACUUGAAGACAACUAACUAAAAGAAAAACUACAAGGUUAUUCGGAAAGAGCAACUCUUGUAAUUUUCGUUUCGAUCUACGAAAAACUACAAUGAACAACUCUUAACAAUGGAUAUCUUGGUUCUC